CCUACGGGCGGCAGCAGUGAGGAAUAUUGGUCAAUGGAUGAGAGUCUGAACCAGCCAAGUAGCGUGCAGGAUGACGGCCCUAUGGGUUGUAAACUGCUUUUAUAGGGGGAUAAAGUGUGCCACGUGUGGCAUAUUGCAGGUACCCUAUGAAUAAGGACCGGCUAAUUCCGUGCCAGCAGCCGCGGUAAUACGGAAGGUCCGGGCGUUAUCCGGAUUUAUUGGGUUUAAAGGGAGCGUAGGCCGGAGAUUAAGCGUGUUGUGAAAUGUAGAUGCUCAACAUCUGCACUGCAGCGCGAACUGGUUUCCUUGAGUACGCACAAAGUGGGCGGAAUUCGUGGUGUAGCGGUGAAAUGCUUAGAUAUCACGAAGAACUCCGAUUGCGAAGGCAGCUCACUGGAGCGCAACUGACGCUGAAGCUCGAAAG
rnacentral:rRNA from 1 species